GACAGUUCAAAUGGCUUAGUGGUUAGAGCGUCCGCCUCAGAUGCGGGAGGUCGUUGGUUCAAUCCUCGGUCGAGUCA